ACAUGAUAUGUUCAUUUCUCAGGCAUUCAGGAGCCUAACUCAUCUUCCAAGAAAAUGGCAACCUGCAAUACAAACAGCAAAGAAACAACAUACACAGGAUAAUGAGCACAAGGCGAAACACAAACAAUCUCAUCUAUAGACAUGAGCGACAAAGAUCAUACAACAAAGGUUCAAAUGAUCAGAGUACAACAAUGAAUCCCAUCCAACAAGC
rnacentral:lncRNA from 1 species